UACGAAGGUCCCAAGCGUUAUCCGGAUUUAUUGGGUUUAAAGGGUGCGUAGGCGGGUUAUUAAGUCAGUGGUGAAAGCCUUCAGCUUAACUGAAGAACUGCCAUUGAUACUGAUGAUCUUGAGUAUGAUUGAGGUUGGCGGAAUGUGUCAUGUAGCGGUGAAAUGCUUAGAUAUGACACAGAACACCGAUUGCGAAGGCAGCUAACUA
rnacentral:rRNA from 1 species